rnacentral:rRNA from 1 species
UACGUAGGUGGCAAGCGUUAUCCGGAAUUACUGGGCGUAAAGCGCACGCAGGCGGUCUUUUAAGUUUGACGUGAAAGCUCCCGGCUUAACUGGGAGAGGUCGUUGAAUACUGGAAGACUUGAGGAAAUGAGAGGGGUGGUAGAAUUCCUGGUGUAGUGGUGGAAUGCGCAGAUAUCAGGAGGAACACCGAUGGCGAAGGCAGGAUCUCUGGGCCACUACUGACGCUGAGAAGCGAAAGCAUGGGGAGCGAACAGG